UUGACCUCGGAUCAGGUAGGGAUACCCGCUGAACUUAAGCAUAUCAAUAAGCGGAGGAAAAGAAACCAACAGGGAUUGCCUCAGUAACGGCGAGUGAAGCGGCAAGAGCUCAAAUUUGAAAUCCGGCCCCCCUGGGGGCCUGAGUUGUAAUUUGCAGAGGAUGCUUCGGGCGCGACCGCGGUCCAAGUCCCCUGGAACGGGGCGUCGUAGAGGGUGAGAAUCCCGUCUCCGGCCGGCCGGUCUCGCCCGUGUGAAGCUCCUUCGACGAGUCGAGUUGUUUGGGAAUGCAGCUCCAAAUGGGUGGUAAAUUUCAUCUAAAGCUAAAUACUGGUCGGAGACCGAUAGCGCACAAGUAGAGUGAUCGAAAGAUGAAAAGCACUUUGAAAAGAGAGUUAAACAGCAUGUGAAAUUGUUGAAAGGGAAGCGCUUGCGACCAGAGUCGGCCGUGGGGGUUCAGCGGGCAUUCGUUGCCCGUGCAAUCCCCCGCGGCCGGGCCAGCGUCGGUUUCGACGGCCGGUCAAAGGCCCCCGGAAUGUGUCGCCUCUCGGGGCGUCUUAUAGCCGGGGGUGCAAUGCGGCCAGUCGGGACCGAGGAACGCGCUCCGGCACGGACGCUGGCUUAAUGGUCGUCAGCGACC
rnacentral:rRNA from 1 species